rnacentral:rRNA from 1 species
UACGUAGGGGGCUAGCGUUGUCCGGAAUCAUUGGGCGUAAAGCGCGUGUAGGCGGUUCGGUAAGUCCGCUGGGAAAGUCGGGGGCUCAACCCUCGAAUGCCGGUGGAUACUGUCGGACUAGAGUACGGAAGAGGCGAGUGGAAUUCCUGGUGUAGCGGUGAAAUGCGCAGAUAUCAGGAGGAACACCAAUUGCGAAGGCAGCUCGCUGGGACGUUACUGACGCUGAGACGCGAAAGCGUGGGGAGCAAACAGG